rnacentral:rRNA from 1 species
CCUGGCUCAGGAUGAACGCUGACAGAAUGCUUAACACAUGCAAGUCGAUGGGGAAGUGGUGCUUGCACCAUGGUAACCAUGGCGGACGGGUGAGUAACGCGUAAGGGACUUACCCGCGGGACUGGGAUAACAGCAGGAAACUGCUGACAAGACCGGAUAAGGUCAUGGAGCCGCAUGGUUACAUGAUGAAAGGAGACGCCUGCGGAGAGCCUUGCGUCCUAUUAGCUAGUUGGGGGGGUAACGGCCCACCAAGGCGAAGAUAGGUAGCCGGCCUGAGAGGGUGGACGGCCACAAGGGGACUGAGAUACGGCCCUUACUCCUACGG